CCCGCUGAACUUAAGCAUAUCAAUAAGCGGAGGAAAAGAAACCAACAGGGAUUGCCUCAGUAACGGCGAGUGAAGCGGCAACAGCUCAAAUUUGAAAUCUGGUUCCUCUGGAGCCCGAGUUGUAAUUUGUAGAGGAUGUCUUCGGGUUUGGCCCCGGCCUAAGUUCCUUGGAACAGGACGUCACAGAGGGUGAGAAUCCCGUAUGUGGCUGGAGGUCUAUGCCCAUGUGAAGCUCCCUCGACGAGUCGAGUUGUUUGGGAAUGCAGCUCAAAAUGGGUGGUAAGUUUCAUCUAAAGCUAAAUACUGGCGGGAGACCGAUAGCGCACAAGUAGAGUGAUCGAAAGAUGAAAAGCACUUUGGAAAGAGAGUUAAAAAGUACGUGAAAUUGUUGAAAGGGAAGCGCUUGCGACCAGACUUGCCUUCGGUUGAUCAACCGGUGUUCUUCACCGGUGCACUCGGCUGAGGUCAGGCCAGCAUCGGUUUAGACGGUUGGAGAAAGAUCAUAGGAAUGUGGCUCCCUUCGGGGAGUGUUAUAGCCUGUGGUGCCAUGCAGCCAGUUUAGACCGAGGACCGCGCCUUGUGCUAGGAUGCUGGCGUAAUGGUCGUAAGCGACCCGUCUUGAAACACGG
rnacentral:rRNA from 1 species